AUAGCAGCAGCGGCAGCAGCAGCUGAUGGCGACUGUGACGGCCACCAAGAAGAUUGUUGUCGAUUUGCCAUCGGCGACGAGGGUCCAAUAUUGGACUGCCCGCCAUGGCCUAACAUAGUUCUGCACCUUGAAUCCAUCCGCAGAUUCUACGUAUGGACACAAUUUCCUGUUGCGUCGUUGCCGCUGGGCUGGUCAACCUCCGGCGAACCGGCUAGCCGGUAAGAUCUUCGUGGACGCUGCUUCGGCCAUCUGGCACAAGCUCGCACUGAACGCUGCAAAACGGCUGACGGGUUUCAUCGAAAAUAGCCACUGUUCAAAAAUAGAUCCACGAAGAAAGAACGAAGCAUUUCCAACAGUCAGCAGCAACGGCAUCGUCGUCUCCGGUAGUCGUAGUCUUGGUCUUAUACCUCCUCGUCGCAGUCAUACUCGGCAUCGCAUCUUCGACGACUACGAACGACCUACCAAAACUGCACCACCGCACCAUUCUUCUUCCCGCACAUCCGCGUCCGCGUUUCUCGAGAAUACCCGACGAUAAUAAUACAUUUUCGAAAUGAAUAGCGCGCCAAUAUCCACAUUGCCGCCAAAAUCUUUCGAUUUCUACCUGUCGAAUGUGUCGCCAAAUUUUACGCUCCAAGUAUCGAGAUUUAUUCGUCUCUGUGAGACGGAAAAAAUUAAACAUUCCGCAGAAGUUACCUAUCGAUACGAAUGACUGGGUACUCCGCAGGGUUUCGUACGGUACGGCGUUGAAAUUCUUCAACAAACGAGAAAUUUGUACGACGAACCGGCUGUUUCCAGACAUUACGAUGA